UACGUAGGGUGCAAGCGUUGUCCGGAAUUAUUGGGCGUAAAGGGUGCGUAGGCGGCGCGGUAAGUCGGGUGUGAAAUCUCGGGGCUUAACUCCGAAACUGCAUUCGAUACUGCCGUGCUUGAGGACUGGAGAGGAGACGUGGAAUUUACGGUGUAGCAGUGAAAUGCGUAGAGAUCGUAAGGAAGACCAGUGGCGAAGGCGGGUCUCUGGGAAUGACCUGACGCUGAGGAGCGAAAGCAUGGGGAGCGAACAGGA
rnacentral:rRNA from 1 species